AACGCUGGCGGCAGGCCUAACACAUGCAAGUCGAGCGAGAAAGCACUUCGGUGCGAGUACAGCGGCGGACGGGUGAGUAACGCGUAGGAAUCUACCCAGUAGUGGGGGACAACAUGGUGAAAACCAUGCUAAUACCGCAUACGCCCUAAGGGGGAAAGCGGGGGAUCUUCGGACCUCGCGCUAUUGGAUGAGCCUGCGUAGGAUUAGCUUGUUGGUGAGGUAAAAGCUCACCAAGGCGACGAUCCUUAGCUGGUCUGAGAGGAUGUAUCAGCCACACUGGGACUGAGACACGGUCCAGACUCCUACGGGAGGCAGCAGUGGGGAAU
rnacentral:rRNA from 1 species